CCGAGGCGGGCACACCCGAGGACGGCACACCCGCGGCGGGAGGCAGAGUGUGUGAGGAGAGGCAAGGAGGCAUUUUGGGUGCAUACAGCAGCACCGGAGGAGCGUGAGCCCCAGGGGGCACGGACUUGUGUUUUUUUCUGCUGUGUCACUGAUGAGGAAACUGAGGCCCAGCAGUGAGAAACUGGCAUGAGGUGGCAGAGAACCAGGAGGCCUCCUGGGCUCUCGGCCCCACACACCAGGGUGUCUGGCCUGUAAGUAGAGACAGGGUUUCGCCCUGUUGGCCAGGCUGGUCUGAAAUUCCUGACCUCAAGUGAUCCACCCGCCUCAGCCUCCCAAAGUGUUGGGAUUACAGGUGUGAGCCACUGCGCCCGGCCAAGGAGUGAUGUUGGACAUUGUGAAUAGUGAAGAGGAACAUUCCAUGCUGGCAGAGAAGGAAGCCAUGCCGGGCAGAAAGAAGUACCUGGAAGCCCAGAGGCCGCACAGAAGGGCUCACGGGAGUGGAGAGUCUGGUUUGAGGGGGGCCGUGAGGGCUGAAGAUGCAGAGGCAGGCUCGGCCUCCGCUAUGAGGAGGGCCUGAGUAGGGCGGGGGCGUGUUUAGGAUGGACUGGAGAGCUGUGACAGGGCCCAGAUAAGAGACCCCUGAAGCUGGGUGAGCCUGUAAUCCCAGCUACUGGGGAGGCUGAGGUGGGAGGAUCACUUAAGCUCAGGAGUUCAAGACCAGCCAGACCUUGUCUCUAAAGAAAGAACCACUGGGCCGGGUGCGGUGGCUCGUGCCUGUAAUCCUAGCACUUUGGGAGGCCGAGGCGGGUGGAUCACGAGGUCAGGAGAUUGAGACCAGCCCGGCUAACAUGGUGAAACCCCAUCUCUACUAAAAAUGCAAAAAAUUAGCCAGGCGUGGUGGCGGGCGCCUGUAGUCCCAGCUACUCGGGAGGCCGAGGCAGGAGAAUGGCAUGAACCCGGGAGGCCGAGCUCGCAGUGAGCGAGAUCGCGCAACUGCACUCCAGCCUGGGCGGCAGAGCGAGGCUCUGUCUCAAAAAAAAAAAAAAAAAAAGAAAAAGAACCACUGGAUUGAGGUCUGGCUGGGGCUGAGGCCACAGGGACAGACAGGCACAGGAGGCAACAUCUCCCCAGAGUCCCAGCGUCUAGCUUAGGCAAGUGAGCGCGGAGCAGAAGAAAGCCCCCAAGGCUCAGCGCCUGCCUGGCGGCGAGACCCAGGUGGGUCACUCCGCCAGAGCCCUGCUGCUCCAGGGGCUGGGGUGGGUGACGGUCACC